GAGCCACCCGUUUCUCUGCUUCCCCUAAACGCGAGUCUCUUCUUCGUCUCUAACCUCACACUUUCUUCGCCAUGAGGGCUACCGCACAACAUUGAUGCUUCUGUGCAGCACCCAUCGAAGUCACCGGCGAUGGUGAUGCAGCACUUGCCGGUGCUGCAACGGCUGUCCACUGCAUCUGCCGUUGCCGCAAGGUGAGGCGUCCUCACCGGCGUUGGCUACUACAAAGAAACAUGGCGUUGCGAGCUUCUGCAAGGCGGCCGGUGCAGCGAGGGACCAGUGACCGCCAGUGUUGUGGAGCAGGCCUCGUGCUCCAGCCGAUCCACGACUGCUACAAGUCAUAUAACGAUGACGGUCCAACGAUCACCUCAGAGCGGUGAUGCAAUGGAGCAACGUCGGGGGCCGUCGGUGCUUGCGUUGGAGCUUUUGCUGUACUACACUGUGCUGGCAUGGAGAUCGAAUGGAGCAACGUCGGGGCCGUCGGGGCCUGCGUUGGAGCUUUUGCUGCAUGCGCUACAUGGUGCUGCCAUGGACUUCUAAUGGAGCAAAGCCUUGGGCCGUCGGUGCUUUGCGUUGGAGCUUUUGUUGUGCUACGCCUACACAGUGCUGCCAUGGAGUCCAAUGGAGAAUCACUGAAACCAGCACUCAUCUGACAUUACAAAGGUUGGGAAGACACGCAAGUGUUGAUAUUUUUUUAUUUGGUUUGUGGGAAGGUCUCUAAAGAAAGUGCAGACAGCAGGAGAGCCAUGACUGUGUAGGCCACUAUAAUUUCUCGUGUGCAAACCACGGGCCUUCCAUACUCUGUUUUUUCUGAGAUAUAGAUAGCACGAAUAAGACAUGUAAUCGAGCACAACUAGAUAGGUGAAAUAGAUAGUCACAUCUGACUCGAUGGCGUUGCACAGGCCUCUUCUUUAGGACACAGAGCCUAGAACUAUUAUGAGGCCUUGAUAGCUCAUUUAGGAAGCAUCUCUAGAAGUUUGUGCUCAGACGAGUCGACCAAAGGAGCUUAGUAAUUCUUGUAAGUCUUCUUCAGAAAUAAUAUGAUAAAUUUACAUAAAGGCAUGUUAUCA